AGGCAGAGACUAAAGGAUAUAGGAAAAGUUGAGAGCUCUGCACUUGCUCUGUGAGAUUGAUUGCCUAGCAGAGCGGCUGUGGAGGAAGCAGGGCCAGGGCCCUUCUGUGGAGGUGCUCUCCCCUGUCUGAGAGUGUCUCUCCACACUUCUGGGAGCAGAGUUUCCUUUCUCUGCAAGGGAGAGCUGGUGAUUCUUUCAUUAAGAAACAUUUUUAUGUUGGCCUGUCUGACUCAAGGUGCAACAGAAGGCAAAGACUAGCGAUUUUCACAUCACGGCGAAAAUAAAAUUUCCUCUGGACAGUCAACAACACCCUGAGAGCAGGAAGAUUCAGCUCAUUCCAAAGCUGCUACCCCAUGGCUGCCACUGAGUGACUUGGGCUCUGUCUACCCUGCUGCAGAGAGCAGGGACACAAAUGACCACUGGAAAGAAUGAAGUUGGUGUCAUG